GUUAGUGUGGCAUAGUGGUUUGGGCGUUGGACUAUGACUCUGGAGGCCAGGGUUCAAUUCUUGUUUGGCCA
rnacentral:tRNA from 1 species